UUUGCCGGCGACCGGCGCACGGGUGAGUAACACGUAUCCAACCUGCCCUUUACUCGGGGAUAGCCUUUCGAAAGAAAGAUCAAUACCCGAUGGCAUAAUGAUUCCGCAUGGUUUCAUUAUUAAAGGAUUCCGGUAAAGGAUGGGGAUGCGUUCCAUUAGGUUGUUGGUGAGGUAACGGCCCACCAAGCCUUCGAUGGAUAGGGGUUCUGAGAGGAAGGUCCCCCCACAUUGGAACUGAGACACGGUCCAAACUCCUACGGGAGGCAGCAUG
rnacentral:rRNA from 1 species